rnacentral:rRNA from 1 species
UAGAGUUUGAUCCUGGCUCAGAUUGAACGCUGGCGGCAUGCUUUACACAUGCAAGUCGAACGGCAGCGCGGGGCAGCCUGGCGGCGAGAGGCGAACGGGUGAGUAAUAUAUCGGAACGUACCCAGAAGUGGGGGAUAACGUAGCGAAAGUUACGCUAAUACCGCAUACGAUCUACGGAUGAAAGUGGGGGACCUUCGGGCCUCAUGCUUUUGGAGCGGCCGAUAUCUGAUUAGCUAGUUGGUGAGGUAAAGGCUCACCAAGGCGACGAUCAGUAGCUGGUCUGAGAGGACGACCAGCCACACUGGGACUGAGACACGGCCCAGACUCCUACGGGAGGCAGCAGUGGGGAAUUUUGGACAAUGGGCGCAAGCCUGAUCCAGCAAUGCCGCGUGAGUGAAGAAGGCCUUCGGGUUGUAAAGCUCUUUUGUCAGGGAAGAAACGGCUCAGGCUAAUAUCCUGGGCUAAUGACGGUACCUGAAGAAUAAGCACCGGCUAACUACGUGCCAGCAGCCGCGGUAAUACGUAGGGUGCAAGCGUUAAUCGGAAUUACUGGGCGUAAAGCGUGCGCAGGCGGUUUUGUAAGUCUGUCGUGAAAGCCCCGGGCUUAACCUGGGAAUUGCGAUGGAGACUGCAGGGCUUGAAUCUGGCAGAGGGGGGUAGAAUUCCACGUGUAGCAGUGAAAUGCGUAGAGAUGUGGAGGAACACCGAUGGCGAAGGCAGCCCCCUGGGUCAAGAUUGACG